UAAUUCUAUAGUGAAUCAUUAUCACUUGGUAAUUUCAUUACCAAAAAGCUUCUCAGCUAGAAUCAU
rnacentral:tRNA from 1 species